AGGAUUAACGCUGGCGGCGUGCCUAACACAUGCAAGUCGAACGAGGUAGCAAUACCUAGUGGCAGACGGGUGAGUAGCGCGUGGUCAACCUACCGUUGAGUGGGGGAUAACUAGCCGAAAGGUUAGCUAAUACCGCAUACGUCUCCGAGGGGCAUCCCUUGGUGAUAAAAGGAGCAAUCCGCUCGAUGACGGGACCGCGUCCCAUUAGCUAGUUGGUAGGGUAACGGCCUACCAAGGCAUCGAUGGGUAGCUGGUUUGAGAGAGCGACCAGCCACACUGGGACUGAGAUACGGCCCAGACUCCUACGGGAGGCAGCAGUGAGGAAUUUUCCGCAAUGGGCGAAAGCCUGACGGAGCGACGCCGCGUGUGGGAAGAAGGCCUUCGGGUCGUAAACCACUGUCGAAGGGGAAGAGUAAUGACGGUACCCUUGGAGGAAGCCCGGCUAACUACGUGCCAGCAGCCGC
rnacentral:rRNA from 1 species